GUGGGUUUGUGGUUUCUCUUUAUGUGUAUCAACCCUGGGGCGGCAGGUAGCCUAUUGGUUAGAGCGUUGGGCCAGUAACCGAAAGGUUUCUAGAUUGAAUAACCAAGCUGACAAGGUGUCUGCCUGUCUGUCCCUCCAUGGUGUCUGUGAGCUUGUCCGGGAACCUGGCGGUGACCUAGGUGGUAUUCCAAAGCCUCCUCUCCACCUAGCGACCUUUGACCUAUCUCAACCUCCAAGGCACAGCAGGCCUAUAGUAGUCAUCUCUCGAGGUCCUGCAGGCACCCGUGGGAAUACAGCCCUCUAGUGCACAAAACACUGCUCAUCAUGUCUUCGCAUGAUCAGAUGAUGACACGGGUACCAGAAGGGUCAGAAAGACAUGGAAGACCAGUCUCUCUUCUCCUCCUCGCCCUCAAACUGCAGGCUAGACUAACCCAGCUGUCUGGCAAUCAUCUCCACGACGACCUCUUCCCAGAGCUGGAUGCCCCUACAAUGCCCAGACUCCACCUCCUGAAAGUGUCCUCCAAUCACAUAAUGUGGGAGUGUCUUAAGACGACAGUGAAUGCCUUGGAAGGGCAUCCUCAACUUUCUUUCCCGGUUAUUUAUUAUGGGUCAUUUGUAUUUACUUAGUUAAAUUUGUAUAAAGUUAGUGUCAUUUAUUUUUUUUUUUGGCCAUGAUGGGUUCAUAUUCCCAAAGUAGCUUUAGCCUACAACAAAUUACCAUGUGCAUCUC